rnacentral:rRNA from 1 species
AGGGUUCGAUUCUGCUCAGGACGAACGCUGGCGGCGCGCCUAACACAUGCAAGUCGAACGGAGCUUAGAGAGCUUGCUUUUUAAGCUUAGUGGCGAACGGGUGAGUAACGCGUGAGUAACCUGCCCUGGAGUGGGGGACAACAGUUGGAAACGACUGCUAAUACCGCAUAAGCCCACGGUACCGCAUGGUACUGAGGGAAAAGGAUUUAUUCGCUUUAGGAUGGACUCGCGUCCAAUUAGCUAGUUGGUGAGGUAACGGCCCACCAAGGCGACGAUUGGUAGCCGGACUGAGAGGUUGAACGGCCACAUUGGGACUGAGACACGGCCCAG